rnacentral:rRNA from 1 species
CGAUGGCGGGGAGACCAACAGGGAUUACCUCAGUAACGGCGAGUGAAGCGGUAACAGCUCAAAUUUGAAAUCUGGCCUCACGGUCCGAGUUGUAAUUUGUAGAGGAUGCUUCGAGCAUGGUCUGGCCUAAGUUCCUUGGAACAGGACGUCAUAGAGGGUGAGAAUCCCGUAUGCGGCCAGGUGCCUACGCUCAUGUGAAGCUCCUUCGACGAGUCGAGUUGUUUGGGAAUGCAGCUCAAAAUGGGUGGUAAAUUUCAUCUAAAGCUAAAUAUUGGCCAGAGACCGAUAGCGCACAAGUAGGAGUUAAACAGUACGUGAAAUUGUUGAAAGGGAAGCGCUUGCAACCAGACUUGCGCGCGGCCGAUCAUCCGGUGUUCUCACCGGUGCACUCGGCCGUGCUCAGGCCAGCAUCGGUUUUGGCGGCUGGAUAAAGGCCCUAGGAAUGUGGCUCCUCUCGGGGAGUGUUAUAGCCUAGGGUGCAAUGCAGCCUGCUGGGACCGAGGACCGCGCUUCGGCUAGGAUGCUGGCGUAAUGGUUGUAAGCGGCCCGUCUUGAAACACGGACCAAGGAGUCUAACAUCUAUGCGAGUGUUUGGGUGUCAAACCCAUACGCGUAAUGAAAGUGAACGGAGGUGAGAACCCUUAAGGGUGCAUCAUCGACCGAUCCUGAUGUCUUCGGAAGGAUUUGAGUAAGAGCAUAGCUGUUGGGACCCGAAAGAUGGUGAACUAUGCCUGAAUAGGGUGAAGCCAGAGGAAACUCUGGUGGAGGCUCGCAGCGGUUCUGACGUGCAAAUCGAUCGUCAAAUUUGGGUAUAGGG